AGAGUUUGAUCAUGGCUCAGGGUUAACGCUGGCGGCAGGCUUAACACAUGCAAGUCGAGCGCCGUAGCAAUACGGAGCGGCAGACGGGAGAGUAACACGUGGGAACGUGCCCUUCAGUUCGGAACAACCCAGGGAAACUUGGGCUAAUACCGGAUACGUCCGUAAGGAGAAAGAUUUAUCGCCGAAAGAUCGGCCCGCGU
rnacentral:rRNA from 1 species